AUUUGAAUUAUGAUUUUAUUUUUGGAAACUCCUUCACUCCUUUUAUAAAUGAAACAAAAAUGAAAAU
rnacentral:snoRNA from 1 species